rnacentral:lncRNA from 1 species
GUGCCCUCCAAUAACUUAAAGGGGUGAAUGCUUCUUGAUAUAACUGGGACAUCAGACAGUUAUGGGGCAAGUCCAUGACUCGUUGCUGUCGUCUAGGAGCAGAAGCAGUCUUGUCUACAGGGGGGACCAGGAUUUACUUGGAGUA